rnacentral:rRNA from 1 species
ACUCCUACGGGAGGCAGCAGUAGGGAAUCUUCCACAAUGGGCGCAAGCCUGAUGGAGCAACACCGCGUGAGUGAAGAAGGGUUUCGGCUCGUAAAAGCUCUGUUGUUAAAGAAGAACACGUAUGAGAGUAACUGUUCAUACGUUGACGGUAUUUAACCAGAAAGUCACGGCUAACUACGUGCCAGCAGCCGCGGUAAUACGUAGGUGGCAAGCGUUAUCCGGAUUUAUUGGGCGUAAAGAGAGUGCAGGCGGUUUUCUAAGUCUGAUGUGAAAGCCUUCGGCUUAACCGGAGAAGUGCAUCGGAAACUGGAUAACUUGAGUGCAGAAGAGGGUAGUGGAACUCCAUGUGUAGCGGUGGAAUGCGUAGAUAUAU